ACCUGGCUUCAAGCUUUCUUUUGGCUUGCAAACCCUACCCAUGCAGACAGUAUCAUGGAAAAAAAAAAAAAAAAAAAAAAAAGGCACAUUUCUCUGCAAACCAGCGUGGGAUUUGGGAGAAAGCAGCAGAGCUGGAUCCACACCAUGCCCUGAACUGACU